rnacentral:piRNA from 1 species
CCNCUGUGAAUGUGUAGGGCUUGCCUGG